rnacentral:rRNA from 1 species
UACGGAGGGUGCGAGCGUUGUCCGGAAUCAUUGGGCGUAAAGGGCGCGUAGGUGGCCUGGUCAGUUCGUGGUGAAAGCGCGGGGCUCAACUCCGCGUCGGCCAUGAAUACUGCUGGGCUUGAGCACUGUAGAGGCAGGCGGAAUUCCGGGUGUAGCGGUGGAAUGCGUAGAGAUCCGGAAGAACACCGGUGGCGAAGGCGGCCUGCUGGGCAGUAGCUGACACUGAGGCGCGACAGCGUGGGGGAGCAAACAGG